AGAGUUUGAUCCUGGCUCAGGACGAACGCUGGCGGCGUGCUUAACACAUGCAAGUCGAACGAGAAUCUGCUGAAGGAGGAUUCGUCCAACGGAAGUAGAGGAAAGUGGCGGACGGGUGAGUAACGCGUGAGGAACCUGCCUUGAAGAGGGGGACAACAGUUGGAAACGACUGCUAAUACCGCAUGACGCAUAGGGGUCGCAUGAUUCUUAUGCCAAAGAUUUAUCGCUUCAAGAUGGCCUCGCGUCUGAUUAGCUAGUUGGCGGGGUAACGGCCCACCAAGGCGACGAUCAGUAGCCGGACUGAGAGGUUGAACGGCCACAUUGGGACUGAGAUACGGCCCAGACUCCUACGGGAGGCAGCAGUGGGGAAUAUUGGGCAAUGGGCGCAAGCCUGACCCAGCAACGCCGCGUGAAGGAAGAAGGCUUUCGGGUUGUAAACUUCUUUUAAGAGGGAAGAGCAGAAGACGGUACCUCUAGAAUAAGCCACGGCUAACUACGUGCCAGCAGCCGCGGUAAUACGUAGGUGGCAAGCGUUGUCCGGAUUUACUGGGUGUAAAGGGCGUGCAGCCGGGUCUGCAAGUCAGAUGUGAAAUCCAUGGGCUCAACCCAUGAACUGCAUUUGAAACUGUAGAUCUUGAGUGUCGGAGGGGCAAUCGGAAUUCCUAGUGUAGCGGUGAAAUGCGUAGAUAUUAGGAGGAACACCAGUGGCGAAGGCGGAUUGCUGGACGAUAACUGACGGUGAGGCGCGAAAGUGUGGGGAGCAAACAGGAUUAGAUACCCUGGUAGUCCACACUGUAAACGAUGAAUACUAGGUGUGCGGGGACUGACCCCCUGCGUGCCGCAGUAAACACAAUAAGUAUUCCACCUGGGGAGUACGAUCGCAAGGUUGAAACUCAAAGGAAUUGACGGGGGCCCGCACAAGCGGUGGAUUAUGUGGUUUAAUUCGAAGCAACGCGAAGAACCUUACCAGGGUUUGACAUCCUGCUAACGAAGUAGAGAUACAUUAGGUGCCCUUCGGGGAAAGCAGAGACAGGUGGUGCAUGGUUGUCGUCAGCUCGUGUCGUGAGAUGUUGGGUUAAGU
rnacentral:rRNA from 1 species